rnacentral:rRNA from 1 species
UGCCCCGGCGAGUGCCCUAUACAUGCAAGUCGAACGCGUUGGCCCAAUUGAUUGAUGGUGCUUGCACCUGAUUGAUUUUGGUCGCCAACGAGUGGCGGACGGGUGAGUAACACGUAGGUAACCUGCCCAGAAGCGGGGGACAACAUUUGGAAACAGAUGCUAAUACCGCAUAACAGCGUUGUUCGCAUGAACAACGCUUAAAAGAUGGCUUCUCGCUAUCACUUCUGGAUGGACCUGCGGUGCAUUAGCUUGUUGGUGGGGUAAUGGCCUACCAAGGCGAUGAUGCAUAGCCGAGUUGAGAGACUGAUCGGCCACAAUGGGACUGAGACACGGCCCAUACUCCUACGGGAGGCAGCAGUAGGGAAUCUUCCACAAUGGGCGCAAGCCUGAUGGAGCAACACCGCGUGAGUGAAGAAGGGUUUCGGCUCGUAAAGCUCUGUUGUUAAAGAAGAACACGUAUGAGAGUAACUGUUCAUACGUUGACGGUAUUUAACCAGAAAGUCACGGCUAACUACGUGCCAGCAGCCGCGGUAAUACGUAGGUGGCAAGCGUUAUCCGGAUUUAUUGGGCGUAAAGAGAGUGCAGGCGGUUUUCUAAGUCUGAUGUGAAAGCCUUCGGCUUAACCGGAGAAGUGCAUCGGAAACUGGAUAACUUGAGUGCAGAAGAGGGUAGUGGAACUCCAUGUGUAGCGGUGGAAUGCGUAGAUAUAUGGAAGAACACCAGUGGCGAAGGCGGCUACCUGGUCUGCAACUGACGCUGAGACUCGAAAGCAUGGGUAGCGAACAGGAUUAGAUACCCUGGUAGUCCAUGCCGUAAACGAUGAGUGCUAGGUGUUGGAGGGUUUCCGCCCUUCAGUGCCGGAGCUAACGCAUUAAGCACUCCGCCUGGGGAGUACGACCGCAAGGUUGAAACUCAAAGGAAUUGACGGGGGCCCGCACAAGCGGUGGAGCAUGUGGUUUAAUUCGAAGCUACGCGAAGAACCUUACCAGGUCUUGACAUCUUGCGCCAACCCUAGAGAUAGGGCGUUUCCUUCGGGAACGCAAUGACAGGUGGUGCAUGGUCGUCGUCAGCUCGUGUCGUGAGAUGUUGGGUUAAGUCCCGCAACGAGCGCAACCCUUGUUACUAGUUGCCAGCAUUAAGUUGGGCACUCUAGUGAGACUGCCGGUGACAAACCGGAGGAAGGUGGGGACGACGUCAGAUCAUCAUGCCCCUUAUGACCUGGGCUACACACGUGCUACAAUGGACGGUACAACGAGUCGCGAACUCGCGAGGGCAAGCAAAUCUCUUAAAACCGUUCUCAGUUCGGACUGCAGGCUGCAACUCGCCUGCACGAAGUCGGAAUCGCUAGUAAUCGCGGAUCAGCAUGCCGCGGUGAAUACGUUCCCGGGCCUUGUACACACCGCCCGUCACACCAUGAGAGUUUGUAACACCCAAAGUCGGUGGGGUAACCUUUUAGGAGCCAGCCGCGUAAGUGACAGG